AAGAGACAGCAGCAGCCGCGGUAAUACGUAGGGUGCAAGCGUUAAUCGGAAUUACUGGGCGUAAAGCGUGCGCAGGCGGUUUGUUAAGACAGAUGUGAAAUCCCCGGGCUCAACCUGGGAACUGCAUUUGUGACUGGCAAGCUAGAGUGUGGCAGAGGGGGGUGGAAUUCCGCGUGUAGCAGUGAAAUGCGUAGAUAUGCGGAGGAACACCGAUGGCGAAGGCAGCCCCCUGGGCCAACACUGACGCUCAUGCACGAAAGCGUGGGGAGCAAACAGGAUUAGAUACCCCUGUAGUCCCUGUCUCUUAUAC
rnacentral:rRNA from 1 species